rnacentral:rRNA from 1 species
AGCGAACGCUGGCGGCAGGCCUAAUACAUGCAAGUCGAACGGAUCCUUCGGGAUUAGUGGCGGACGGGUGAGUAACACGUGGGAACGUGCCCUUUGGUUCGGAACAACUCAGGGAAACUUGAGCUAAUACCGGGAUAAGCCCCUCGGGGGAAAGAUUUAUCGCCAUUGGAGCGGCCCGCGUCUGAUUAGCUAGUUGGUGGGGUAAAGGCCUACCAAGGCGACGAUCAGUAGCUGGUCUGAGAGGANGAUCAGCCACACUGGGACUGAGACACGGCCCAGACUCCUACGGGAGGCAGCAGUAGGGAAUCUUGCGCAAUGGGCGAAAGCCUGACGCAGCCAUGCCGCGUGAAUGAUGAAGGUCUUAGGAUUGU